rnacentral:rRNA from 1 species
UACGAACCGUGCGACCGUUAUUCGGAAUCACUGGGCUUAAAGCGCGUGUAGGCGGCCCGGCGCGUCGGAUGCUGAAAUCCCCCGGCUCAACCGGGGAAGGGGCGCCGAUACGGCCGGGCUGGAGGGGGGUAGGGGGCGCUGGAACUCACGGUGGAGCGGUGAAAUGCGUUGAGAUCGUGAGGAACGCGCGCGGCGAAAGCGAGCGCCUGGACCCUUUCUGACGCUGAGACGCGAAAGCCAGGGGAGCGAACGGG